rnacentral:tRNA from 1 species
GGCGGAUGUAGCCAAGUGGAUUAAAGCAGUGGAUUGUGAAUCUACCAUGUGCGGGUUCAAUUCCUGUUGUUCGCC